rnacentral:misc_RNA from 1 species
GUCCUGACAGACGUUGUUGGGCCUGCCGGUCUGGGUACGGGUUUCUAGGCUUACACCUGCUAAUACGGGGAACGCUGGUAGCGACCACUAACGAGUAACUUUUUUCCGACCCGGUGGACCUAGGUCACGCGCAUUAAAUGAGCAAAUCUAGCGAUCCGGCUGACACCCCGUGUCAUCUAUCCGGGAAAGGUGGUGUGAAAAUUCUACCGGCCAUAUGCUCGUGGCUCGUCAGGCACCGCAUAGACAUUCAGCUACUGAUGAUUCUAAUACCUGCAAAACCCAAUUUAUUAGAAAUAGAAAAAGGAAAAAACAGAAAAAAUUAACAUACAAAAUCCACAAUAUAAAAAUAAGAAUUAGCUAAACAAGAACAACAAUACUAAAACCACAGAGUACAUUGUAAUAGUAGGUAGGUAUAAUGCCUACUAAAUAUAUACAAGGGAAUCGCUGACACCGCGCGUCACCACGAGUCGCCGUUGCAAUAUAUGACGUCAAUAAAGAUCAUCAUCAGCAUUCUCAUAUUUUACCUUUUUAACCGACUCCAAAAAAGGAGGAGAUUCUCAAUUCGACUGUAUUUUUUUUAUGCAUGUUACUUCAGAACUUUUGACUG